rnacentral:rRNA from 1 species
AUGGAAGAAGUGGCCAAAAAGGGCCAGGAGGGAUUGGAAGUUCUAGUUGAACUUGGGAAGCAGGCUGCUAUCAUGUUAAACCUAGGUAACCUCUAUGUUGAGCGGUACAUGAACAAAAUAUAUAGAUUGCCUCAGCAAACAGGACUUCAAUGGGUCAUGGAGUGUUAUGGUCGUCCCCAAUACUUUUAUAAAAUGUUUCGGAUGAGCACUGAUGUUUUCAUUGCACUUCAUGAUUUGCUUGUCUCUACAUAUGGUUUGACAUCAACCACUAAUGUUUCCUCAAUUGAGUCACUGGCCAUGUUCUUAUGGAUCGUUGGAGGCCCUCAAUCAUUUGCUCAAGUUGAGAACCGCUUUGUACGGUCACUUUGGACAGUUCAUACAAAGUUUAAGGAAGUUCUGUUAUGUUUGCGCAAGUUAGCGAAAGAUAUCAUCAAACCGACAGAUCCUACUUUUAGCUAUGAGCAUGAAAGUAUUAAAGAUGAACGUUUUUGGCCUCAUUUCAAAGGUGCUAUUGGUGCAAUAGAUGGAUCACAUGUGCCAGUUUCAGUACCAGCGGAUGAUGCAGUUAACCAUAGAUGUCGGCAUGUUUUUACAUCUCAGAAUGUGCUUGCAAUAUGUGACUUUCACAUGAGGUUUACCUUUGUGGUUGCGGGUUGGCCGGGUUGUGCACAUGACACAAGGAUCCCGAAUCAUGCAUUAUCACAUUUCUCUUCAUUUCCCGUACCUCCCAAAGGUAUAACAUACUAA